GGGGGUGUGGUGUUAAUGGCUAACACAAUGCUCUCCAAAAGCAUUACUCUCGGUUCGAAUCCGAGCACCCCUG
rnacentral:tRNA from 1 species